AAAUUGUUUCAACACCACUCAGACCAAACUAAAUGUAGUCUUUUGUUAACAGUCGCUGUAACAUUUGCACAGCUAAGAAAUUUAAACAUUGCAUUUACUGGUAAAACCGAAAUGGCUG